GACCUGUAAAAAGCCCAGGAGCUGCAGCAGCAAGGAGGGCUGUAGUUAUUCUCUGAAAGGAGGGAGUUGAGAGGCUGGGAUCUAGUGAUCUAGGUAGAAGCCCAGGGAAACAGCAGCAAGGACUAAGACCGUACAGGCCUGGGCUGCACAUUAUAGGGUCCCUAGGCUGGAACACAGUGUAGAGGAUGGGGUGGGUUCCACUAUGGCUAGUGGCACAGGGUAUUGGAGAUAUCAGCUAGACAGUUGAUCAGGAAGGACUGUGAUUUCCCUGGAAGGGAAUGAACUUAGUGACCUGGCUGGAAGGCCAAGCCAGAAACUGCAAGGUGCCACUCUGAGAAGGGGAGAGAAAGAGGGUGUAGACAGAAGAUGGGUAGAGAAACCACUGAGGAGGCUGAAGCACUUGGCAGAGCUGACUGUCAGGAUAGCUAGGAGGAGGUGCUGUGGGUGGUGAGGGAACCCAUCACAAAUCUCUCCUUCCUUGCCUCAGGAGCUGAGGGCUUUGUAUUACUGUUGGAAUGAGGCUAUGUAGUCUAUAAGAGUAAUGGAAAAGAACACCUAUACCCCAUUCAAGGACUUGAGUGGUGCUUGUGCAAGCCUUCUAGACUCAUAUUGACUUAACUGGGCUUUGGAUGAGGCCCUAUAGAGAGAAGUGAAAAGUGCAUCACUAUUCACUUCUGCUAAUACAGCACUGGUUGUGCUCUCAGAGGGUGCCGUGCAUUUCAUUCACUUGCUCAAGAGAAUGUUCCCUAUUCAAGGAGGUGGUGGGAGGUGAACAAAAGGCACUUAAGGAAAACAAUUUGUUUUAGGAAAAAUUCAAAUUCUUAAAACCUCUUGGAAAUGUGUCUUGAGAAACUUUGAACAAUAUUUUCUUUUUCUCCAGGGAUGAUUCAGACUAUAGCACCUCAUCCCAACAGUAGCAUGGAGCCCUUCUGAAAAGGGAAUCUGCAGACAGACUGGACAACAGCUGUAAGAGAAGUGAAACAGAAUGAGAGGAUCUAUCUCAAUGUGGUGUUGGCUACCUAAUGACAAUUUAAAUAUCAACACUAUUGACUAUUUCACUGCUGCUCAUUUUAACAGUUUUAUCCCACAACCCCAAUCUGCCUCUGAAGAUGCCAAAAGCAGCCAAAACUUCCAGCUGCCCCAAAGACAAUUUCCACGGUGCAGUUGUGUAAUUAAUCAAUCUUUUACAUAUUGAAAACUAAAAUAUGGGGUCCCUGUAAAAUAAAUCACAUUGUAGAUAAACAUGACUAACAUUGUAGCUACUGUACAAAGUAUACUAUUCAUUCAGUUAAUUAAAAGUCUGUUUUUAAUUUAAAUGAAGCUGCUACAGAGUCCAGGGAUGGUGUGACUUUUUUCCCUGGUGGGACAGCUCUAUAUCUCACUGGAACGAUGUGAGGAUCUCAUUCUCUAAAUUGCCUUGAGCCAUCCUAAGGUGCACAUGUGAGGGAAACAGGUACAUUAAA